AUUGAACGCUGGCGGCAUGCCUUACACAUGCAAGUCGAACGGUAACAGGUCUUCGGAUGCUGACGAGUGGCGAACGGGUGAGUAAUACAUCGGAACGUGCCCGAGAGUGGGGGAUAACGAAGCGAAAGCUUUGCUAAUACCGCAUACGAUCUCAGGAUGAAAGCAGGGGACCGCAAGGCCUUGCGCUCACGGAGCGGCCGAUGGCAGAUUAGGUAGUUGGUGGAAUAAAAGCUUACCAAGCCGACGAUCUGUAGCUGGUCUGAGAGGACGACCAGCCACACUGGGACUGAGACACGGCCCAGACUCCUACGGGAGGCAGCAGUGGGGAAUUUUGGACAAUGGGCGCAAGCCUGAUCCAGCCAUGCCGCGUGCAGGAUGAAGGCCUUCGGGUUGUAAACUGCUUUUGUACGGAACGAAAAGACUCUGGUUAAUACCUGGGGUCCAUGACGGUACCGUAAGAAUAAGCACCGGCUAACUACGUGCCAGCCGCCGCGGUAACAC
rnacentral:rRNA from 1 species